ACUCCUACGGGAGGCAGCAGUGGGGAAUUUUGCGCAGUGGGGGAAACCCUGACGCAGCAACGCCGCGUGGAGGAUGAAGCCCCUUGGGGCGUAAACUCCUUUCGACCAAGACGAUAAUGACGGUACUGGUGGAAGAAGCACCGGCUAACUCUGUGCCAGCAGCCGCGGUAAUA
rnacentral:rRNA from 1 species